UUAAUACCUUAGAGUUUGAUCCUGGCUCAGGAUGAACGCUAGCUACAGGCUUAACACAUGCAAGUCGAGGGGAAACGACAUCGAAAGCUUGCUUUUGAUGGGCGUCGACCGGCGCACGGGUGAGUAACGCGUAUCCAACCUGCCCACCACUUGGGGAUAACCUUGCGAAAGUAAGACUAAUACCCAAUGAUAUCUCUAGAAGACAUCUGAAGGAGAUUAAAGAUUUAUCGGUGAUGGAUGGGGAUGCGUCUGAUUAGCUUGUUGGCGGGGUAACGGCCCACCAAGGCGACGAUCAGUAGGGGUUCUGAGAGGAAGGUCCCCCACAUUGGAACUGAGACACGGUCCAAACUCCUACGGGAGGCAGCAGUGAGGAAUAUUGGUCAAUGGGCGAGAGCCUGAACCAGCCAAGUAGCGUGCAGGAUGACGGCCCUAUGGGUUGUAAACUGCUUUUAUAAGGGAAUAAAGUGAGUCUCGUGAGACUUUUUGCAUGUACCUUAUGAAUAAGGACCGGCUAAUUCCGUGCCAGCAGCCGCGGUAAUACGGAAGGUCCGGGCGUUAUCCGGAUUUAUUGGGUUUAAAGGGAGCGUAGGCCGGAGAUUAAGCGUGUUGUGAAAUGUAGAUGCUCAACAUCUGCACUGCAGCGCGAACUGGUUUCCUUGAGUACGCACAAAGUGGGCGGAAUUCGUGGUGUAGCGGUGAAAUGCUUAGAUAUCACGAAGAACUCCGAUUGCGAAGGCAGCUCACUGGAGCGCAACUGACGCUGAAGCUCGAAAGUGCGGGUAUCGAACAGGAUUAGAUACCCUGGUAGUCCGCACGGUAAACGAUGGAUGCCCGCUGUUGGUCUGAAUAGGUCAGCGGCCAAGCGAAAGCAAAAAGCAUCCCACCUGGGGAGUACGCCGGCAACGGUGUACCUUUUAGGAAUUGACGG
rnacentral:rRNA from 1 species